AGGGUAUAGGUGAGAAGCGAGCCAGAAGAACAAACUUCCAUCCAUCCCGCUCAACUCCCCUAGAAAGCACAUUAAAGUAUUUUUCUGGCUUUCCUGGCGGCGAGCUCAGUGCUCCGGCAGAUGAUUUGGAUAGCCUUGAAUGGUUGUCUCAUUUCGUGGAAGAAGACUCGUUUUCCGGUUACUCUCUCUAACAUACCCCACCGGAAAACUGCCGACGCGUCGCCGCUGGAAAACAAGAUCCAGGUUCAAGCUGAAAUUUCGGUACCCCGGUCCAGACCGAAGCUAGAAGCAAACGCGCCAGAACCGGCGUCCGAGCUCGGCUGAGUGGUUUGCCGUCGCUGACCGAGUCGUCCACCUCGUCCUCUUCGUCGACGUCGUCCCCUCCACACCCAUUUUUGACAGCCGAGUCGUUGAUAGGGAUACCGCCGGCGAAGAAACAGAAAAAGAAAAUGACCAAGACCGCUGCUGCCGCCGACGAUUCUGCAUCUUCAUCCCUAUCAGCUUAAUUAAGGAUGAACUAAAUGAAAAUGUCAUGUUUGCCCUCAACAAUUAACGUUCACUUGACACCCAACCUAACGGAGGACUACGGGUGGUUAUUUUGAAAAAGAUAGAGGACGAUUCCUGGUCGUUUAAAAGACUAGGGACCACCGCUGGUAUAUUGCUAAUACACAGAGGACCAAUGGAGGUAUUAACUCCAAAAUAGGCUAUUAAACUACAGGUGAACUUACAGUAUGAUUAUUUAACUCAAAAGAAAUACAAUUUGAUCACA